CCUACGGGAGGCAGCAGUAAGGAAUAUUGGUCAAUGGACGCAAGUCUGAACCAGCCAUGCCGCGUGAAGGAUUAAGGUCCUCUGGAUUGUAAACUUCUUUUAUUUGGGACGAAAAAGGGCCUUUCUAGGUCAACUGACGGUACCAGAUGAAUAAGCACCGGCUAACUCCGUGCCAGCAGCCGCGGUAAUACGGAGGGUGCAAGCGUUAUCCGGAUUCACUGGGUUUAAAGGGUGCGUAGGCGGGUAGGUAAGUCAGUGGUGAAAUCCUAGAGCUUAACUCUAGAACUGCCAUUGAUACUAUCUAUCUUGAAUAUUGUGGAGGUAAGCGGAAUAUGUCAUGUAGCGGUGAAAUGCUUAGAUAUGACAUAGAACACCUAUUGCGAAGGCAGCUUACUACGCAUAUAUUGACGCUGAGGCACGAAAGCGUGGGGAUCAAACAGGAUUAGAUACCCUGGUAGUCACGCCCUAAACUAUGGAUACUCGACAUUGUGAUACACAAUAAGUGUCUGAGCGAAAGCAUUAAGUAUCCCACCUGGAAGUACGUCCGCAAGGAUGAAACUCAAAGGAAUUGACGG
rnacentral:rRNA from 1 species